rnacentral:rRNA from 1 species
GCCAGACUCCUACGGGAGGCAGCAGUGGGGAAUAUUGCACAAUGGGGGGAACCCUGAUGCAGCGACGCCGCGUGGGUGAAGGAGCGUUUCGGCGCGUAAAGCCCUCUCGGCAGGGAAGAAGGAGGACGGUACCUGACUAAGAAGCCCCGGCUAACUACGUGCCAGCAGCCGCGGUAAUACGUAGGGGGCAAGCGUUAUCCGGAUUUACUGGGUGUAAAGGGGGCGCAGACGGCAGCGCAAGCCAGGAGUGAAAGCCCGGGGCCCAACCCCGGGACUGCUCUUGGAACUGCGCGGCUGGAGUGCAGGAGGGGCAGGCGGAAUUCCUGGUGUAGCGGUGAAAUGCGUAGAUAUCAGGAGGAACACCGGUGGCGAAGGCGGCCUGCUGGACGGCGACUGACGUUGAGGCCCGAAAGCGUGGGGAGCAAACAGGAUUAGAUACCCCUGUAAAC